AUUGAACGCUGGCGGCAUGCCUUACACAUGCAAGUCGAACGGCAGCACGGGGGCAACCCUGGUGGCGAGUGGCGAACGGGUGAGUAAUGCAUCGGAACGUGCCCAGUAGUGGGGGAUAACUAGUCGAAAGAUUAGCUAAUACCGCAUACGACCUAUGGGUGAAAGCGGGGAUCGCAAGACCUCGCGCUAUUGGAGCGGCCGAUGUCUGAUUAGCUAGUUGGCGGGGUAAAAGCCCACCAAGGCUUCGAUCAGUAGCUGGUCUGAGAGGACGACCAGCCACACUGGGACUGAGACACGGCCCAGACUCCUACGGGAGGCAGCAGGUGGGGUAAUUUGGACAAUGGGCGCAAGCCUGAUCCAGCCAUGCCGCGUGCGGGAAGAAGGCC
rnacentral:rRNA from 1 species